UCCUCGUGCCCCGUCCUGGAGCCGGCAGUGACAGAAGCAGGACUUGGAAACAUCCAAGGCUCCAUGGGUGAAACUUAUCGUCGAGGAGGUGCAAUGUGACAAUCGGCACCAGAAGUCAUGGGGUAGAAGGGUCUUUGACACGUGGCACAUCUGCAACCAGGUCUCUGUGCGGACUGUUCAGAAAUGGGCAUUUGGGGCCUGCACCAGUCUCCUGGAAACAGCUGAGCCAGCCCUUGCAGCAGGUAAGUGCGGGUUCCUGCCUUCGACACACUUGGGGAACACAAUAUUCCAGCAUUUGCCUUGGUUUCUGACUGGAUGUACAUCAUUCGCUUGGGCAGAUCCAUAGGUACCGCCUCCGGUGGCUAUGGCUCUCGCCUCCAAACUACUGGCAGUGUCUUCCAAAAGCCACAGCAUGCCCCGGGGCUAGGCCUCUACCAGUUGGCCAGAUGCACAGACUUGCUGUUGUACCUCUCUGUGCUUGGACUGGCGUUGAGCACGUGGACCUCUGCCAGCUUCAGCACUCUACCUUGUUGCCCUCAUGUGGUCAGCAGCAUAAGCCUGUGACCCUAAUGAACCUGUCAGCCCCUGAAGGCCAUUGCCCAAACCCCUCAUCUCAUUGCAGUCUGCAUUGGGGCUGCACCAGUAUUUCCCCAUUGCAGUUGGAGAGUUGCAGCGGGGGUGGAGACAAUGCAGAAAUGAUGCUGCAACCUGACCUUCUAUAAAAGUCUUACUCUGUUGCAGUAGG